rnacentral:tRNA from 1 species
GCCUCCAUAGUUAAAUGGAUAUAACGGUCCCCUCCUAAGGGACAAUUAUAGGUUCGAUUCCUAUUGGGGGUACCA